rnacentral:rRNA from 1 species
AACAAACGCUGGCGGCGUGCCUAACACAUGCAAGUCGUACGAGAAAGUCCGCUUCGGUGGAUUAGUAAAGUGGCGCACGGGUGAGUAACGCGUGGAUAAUCUACCCUUUAGUCUGGAAUAACUUAUCGAAAGGUGAACUAAUACCGGAUAAUAUCCCGAUUUCUUCGGCGAUUGGGAUCAAAGAAGGCCUCUGCUUGCAAGCUUUUACUGAAGGAUGAGUCCGCGUACCAUUAGCUAGUUGGCAGGGUAAUGGCCUACCAAGGUUAUGAUGGUUAGCUGGUCUGAGAGGAUGAUCAGCCACACUGGAACUGAGACACGGUCCAGACUCCUACGGGUGGCAG